rnacentral:rRNA from 1 species
UAAGGAAUAUUGCUCAAUGGGAGAAAUCCUGAAGCAGCAACGCCGCGUGGAGGAUGAAGGGUCUAUGACUUGUAAACUCCUGUAAAGAAGGAAAAAAUUCCCAUUUGAUGGGAGAUGAUGGUACUUCUGGAGUAAGCCCCGGCUAACUACGUGCCAGCAGCCGCGGUAAUCCGUAGGGGGCAAGCGUUGUCCGGAUUUACUGGGUGUAAAGGGUGCUCAGGCGGAUUUGUAAGUCAGAGGUGAAAUCUUACAGCUUAACUGUGAAACUGCCUGUGAUACCGCAAGCCUAGAGUAUGGAAGAGAGUGAUGGAAUAUCUGGUGUAGCAGUGAAAUGCGUAGAUAUCAGAUAGAACACCAAUGGCGAAGGCAGUCACUUGGUCCAUUACUGACGCUAAAGCACGAAAGCGUGGGUAGCAAACA